UACGAAGGGGGCUAGCGUUGCUCGGAAUCACUGGGCGUAAAGCGCACGUAGGCGGGUCGUUAAGUCGGGGGUGAAAUCCUGGAGCUCAACUCCAGAACUGCCUUCGAUACUGGCGACCUUGAGUCCGGGAGAGGUGAGUGGAACUCCGAGUGUAGAGGUGAAAUUCGUAGAUAUUCGGAAGAACACCAGUGGCGAAGGCGGCUCACUGACCCGGUACUGACGCUGAGGUGCGAAAGCGUGGGGAGCAAACAGG
rnacentral:rRNA from 1 species